rnacentral:tRNA from 1 species
UAUAUUUUAGUUUAUGAUGAAUAAAGGUUUUUGAAACUUUUGGAAAUAGUUUAAUUCUAUUAAAUGUAA